CGCUCAUGCGCGAUUCAUUUGCAGUUUGGACGCAUAGGUGUGAACAUCUCCUGCCCUGACAGCAGCUGGGGGAGGACUAUCCUCCACCCGUGAGCGCUUUGGAACAGGCGAGGUGCCCACGGCAGCACCCGCUGCUUGUUGAGAGUAAAAACGAUACGCGCUUUCACGUCAAAAAGUCGUCAUAAAUAAGUCUCCACACCAGAAAAAGUCGCCAGAUUUGUCGCUAGUCGCUUUUUAGAAAAAAAGUCGCUAAGUUGGCAACACUGAGUGGACACGUAUUGGCAGCUGAGAUAAACAGCAGACGCAUAGCCUACCUUCUACCCUACAGCAGCCUCCAAUGAUGCACUUAAAUUGGGACGCAGGGGGAUGCCUGCACGACGACCUGUGACAUACUGAGAGCUGGGAAGUGGACAAAGAUGGAUGGAUGGACUGGGGAGGAGCGUGUCAUGCAUUGUCACUAUGUAUCAGAUCCUCAAAAACUUUGGUUCCCUCAGCAAACGCAGCAGGAAAUGCUCUCAAAAUGUGACUGUGCUCGGAUGGCUGAGCUGCUCUGUGCAGCCCAGAAUGAUGUGUGUGCAGUUUGACACCAGCGGGCUUCUGUCGCUGCUAAAGGCGCUUCCCUUCUGUCUGUUCCACCUGCUCGCCCGACUACCAUUGGACUCGGAGCCUUUAGUUGUUCUGAACAUUUUAUCAUGUUUAAUAUAUUUUUUGCUGCUAUUGCUCGUGUUUUUUGUAAGGUGACCUUGAGGGUCUGAAAGGCGCCUA